UACGUAGGGGGCUAGCGUUGUCCGGAUUUAUUGGGCGUAAAGAGCGUGUAGGCGGCCAGGUAGGUCUGCUGUGAAAACUCGAGGCUCAACCUCGAGACGUCGGCGGAAACCAUCUGGCUAGAGUCCGGAAGAGGAGAGUGGAAUUCCUGGUGUAGCGGUGAAAUGCGCAGAUAUCAGGAAGAACACCCGUGGCGAAGGCGGCUCUCUGGGACGUGACUGACGCUGAGACGCGAAAGCGUGGGAGCAAACAGG
rnacentral:rRNA from 1 species